AACGCAUAUUGCACUCUGUCUCGGCAGAGUAUGCCUGUUUGAGAAUCUAUUGUAUUUCUUACUCCUUUGUGCUUUUCUCUCGGGAGAGGCGCGACUGGGUAGAUUUGAGACAUGAAUGCGAAUUCUGUCUUUAAAUAGAUUGCCGCCUUGAUGGUGACUUUUUGUGUUUGAAUAGAACGUCAGUUCUCGAUUACGCUUAGGGGCUCUGUCGUUGGGUGGUUCAUACCUAUAAAGACUAGUACUUUGGGAACGUCUUGAACCAUGGUCUCAAAUCAGGUAGGAAGACCCGCUGAACUUAA
rnacentral:misc_RNA from 1 species